rnacentral:rRNA from 1 species
GUCCUUUUGAUUUUUAUUUAAGGUCUGACCUGCCCACUGAUUUAUUUAAUGGCCGCGGUAUUCUGACCGUGCAAAGGUAGCAUAAUAAUUUGUCUUUUAAUUGAAGGCUUGUAUGAAUGGUUGGACGAGAAAACUUCUUUCUUUAUAAUAUAUUUAUGAAUUUUAUUUUUUAGUUAAAAAGCUAAAAUGUUAUUGUAGGACGAGAAGACCCUAUAGAACUUUAUAGUUUUUAUUAUAUUAAUAUUUUUGGUUAAUAAAUAUAUUAUUUAAUGUAAAUUAUUUUGUUGGGGCGACAAGAAAAUUUAUUUAACUUUUUUUAAUUAAUUUCACUAAUUAGUGUAUGAAUGAUCCUUUAUUAUGGAUAAUAAGAAUAAGUUACCUUAGGGAUAACAGCGUAAUUUCUUUGGAGAGUUCUUAUCGAUAAAGAAGUUUGCGA